AGAAUCAACGCUGGCGGCGUGCCUAACACAUGCAAGUCGCACGAGAAAGGGACUUCGGUCCUGAGUAAAGUGGCGCACGGGUGAGUAACACGUGAAUAAUCUACCUCCGAGUGGGGAAUAACUGAGAGAAAUCUUAGCUAAUACCGCAUAAUACCCACGGGUCAAAGCAGCAAUGCGCUUGGAGAGGAGUUCGCGGCCGAUUAGCUAGUUGGCGGGGUAAUGGCCCACCAAGGCGAUGAUCUGUA
rnacentral:rRNA from 1 species